rnacentral:piRNA from 1 species
UAGCUGUGUCCUCAUGUGGCCGAAGGGGA